GACGAACGCUGGCGGCGUGCUUAACACAUGCAAGUCGAGCGGUAAGGCCCUUUCGGGGUACGACGAGCGGCGAACGGGUGAGUAACACGUGGGUGACCUGCCCUCAGCUCUGGGAUAAGCCUGGGAAACCGGGUCUAAUACUGGAUAUGACUCCAUGACGCAUGUUGUGGGUGGAAAGCCUUGUGCGGCUGAGGAUGGGCCCGCGGCCUAUCAGCUUGUUGGUGGGGUGAUGGCCUACCAAGGCGACGACGGGUAGCCGGCCUGAGAGGGCGACCGGCCACACUGGGACUGAGACACGGCCCAGACUCCUACGGGAGGCAGCAGUGGGGAAUCUUGCGGCAAUGGGCGAAAGCCUGACGCAGCGACGCCGCGUGAGGGAUGACGGCCU
rnacentral:rRNA from 1 species